GACGAACGCUGGCGGCGUGCUUAACACAUGCAAGUCGAACGGUAAGGCCCUUCGGGGUACACGAGUGGCGAACGGGUGAGUAACACGUGGGUGAUCUGCCCUGCACUUCGGGGUAAGCCUGGGAAACUGAGUCUAAUACCGGAUAGGACUCCGGACUGCAUGGUCUGGGGUGGAAAGCUUUUGCGGUGUGGGAUGGGCCCGCGGCCUAUCAGCUUGUUGGUGGGGUGAUGGCCUACCAAGGCGACGACGGGUAGCCGGCCUGAGAGGGUGACCGGCCACACUGGGACUGAGAUACGGCCCAGACUCCUACGGGAGGCAGCAGUGGGGAAUAUUGCACAAUGGGCGCAAGCCUGAUGCAGCGACGCCGCGUGAGGGAUGACGGCCUUCGGGUUGUAAACCUCUUUCAGCACAGACGAAGCGCAAGUGACGGUAUGUGCAGAAGAAGGACCGGCCAACUACGUGCCAGCAGCCGCCGUAA
rnacentral:rRNA from 1 species